CCUACGGGGAGCAGCAGUGGGGAAUAUUGGACAAUGGGCGAAAGCCUGAUCCAGCCAUGCCGCGUGUGUGAAGAAGGCCUUCGGGUUGUAAAGCACUUUCAGUGGGGAAGAAAGCCUUGGGGCUAAUACCCUCGAGGAAGGACAUCACCCACAGAAGAAGCCCCGGCUAACUCCGUGCCAGCAGCCGCGGUAAUACGGAGGGUGCGAGCGUUAAUCGGAAUUACUGGGCGUAAAGCGCGCGUAGGCGGUCUGAUAAGCCGGUUGUGAAAGCCCCGGGCUCAACCUGGGAACGGCAUCCGGAACUGUCAGGCUAGAGUGCAGGAGAGGAAGGUAGAAUUCCCGGUGUAGCGGUGAAAUGCGUAGAGAUCGGGAGGAAUACCAGUGGCGAAGGCGGCCUUCUGGACUGACACUGACGCUGAGGUGCGAAAGCGUGGGUAGCAAACAGGAUUAGAUACCCCGGUAGUC
rnacentral:rRNA from 1 species